CCUACGGGUGGCAGCAGUGGGGAAUAUUGCACAAUGGGCGAAAGCCUGAUGCAGCGACGCCGCGUGAGGGAUGAAGGCCUUCGGUGUGUAAAGCUCUUUCAGCAGGGGAGUAAAGUACGGUACCUGAUCAAGAUUGCAUGGCUAAUACCGUGACAGCAGGCGCGGUAAUACGGAGGGGGCGAGCGUUAUCCGGAUUUACCGGGUGUAAAGGGAGCGUAGAGGGCUGCACAAGUCUGGAGUGAAAUGCCGAGGCUAAACCCCGGAACUGCAUUUGAUACUGUACACCUGGAGUGCAGGAGAGGUAAGUGGAAUUCCUGGUGUAGCGGUGAAAUGCGUAGAUAUUACGAAGAACACCAGUGGCGAAGGCAGCUUACUGGACUGUAACUGACGUUGAGGCUCGAAAGUGUGGGUAGCAAACAGGAUUAGAUACCCCUGUAGUC
rnacentral:rRNA from 1 species